UGGGGAAUAUUGCACAAUGGGCGCAAGCCUGAUGCAGCCAUGCCGCGUGUAUGAAGAAGGUCUUCGGGUCGUAAAGUACUUUCAGCGGGGAGGAAGGGAGUAAAGUUAAUACCUUUGCCCAUUGACGUUACCCGCCGAAGAAGCACCGGCUAACUCCGUGCCAGCAGCCGCGGUAAUACGGAGGGUGCAAGCGUUAAUCGGAAUUACUGGGCGUAAAGCGCACGCAGGCGGUCUGUCAAGUCGGAUGUGAAAUCCCCGGGCUCAACCUGGGAACUGCAUUCGAAACUGGCAGGCUAGAGUCUUGUAGAGGGGGGUAGAAUUCCAGGUGUAGCGGUGAAAUGCGUAGAGAUCUGGAGGAAUACCGGUGGCGAAGGCGGCCCCCUGGGCGAUGACUGACGCUCAGGUGCGAAAGCGUGGGGAGCAAACAGG
rnacentral:rRNA from 1 species